GCAGAUAGUGUGCUUUAGGACCUGCUUGCAGAUAGUGCUUCCUCAAUGCCUGCAUGUAAUGGCUUGCCCUUGUACUUAAUUAACUUGCUGACUUUUUUUUUUUUAAUGUGGGUAGGGUCUGUGUGAUGACAGAACUCAAACUGUAUUUCAUGCUGUGACUUGUGUUUGAUACUUCUGAAAAGUCAAUCUUGACUCCUAUCUGAAGCUGUCUAGUGGUGGAAGGACUUCUUCGCUAGGACCUAGUUCAUAUUUCAGAUAAGGUAAUUUAGCUUUCUCAAAAGGAGUAUUCAUGCAAAUCUGUGUGUAAGCUAGCAUUCAGGGACUUUGGUUUGUUAAAGAGAGUUGUCUAAAAAUGGUCUGUUAGAGAUGAGCAAUUAGACUUGCUUUAGUUUCUUCUCUUUUUGGUAACGAAUGCUGUAUCACUAGGAGAGGGAAGGAGUAUAUGCAUAUUUGUUGUUACAUGAUCCCAAAUUUUUUUUUUUUUUUUGUAUAUACAGUGGAAAGUGUUAAAGUAUUUAAGGUGACAUUAUGCUAGGGUAUCUAGAAGUUUACUGAAAAUCUUGUGGUUUUGGUUUUGUCCUGAAAUUGUGCACCUUCCCUGUUGGAUUAGCUUAUGGGAGAAAACUGAAACUCCCAUAGGUGUGGAAGCAGAGUUGUACACUUGCAGCAUGUGCUUGUUGUAAGUCCACAGUGAAUAUAUGCAAAAUGGGUAUGAAUUCUUAAACAAAUUUAGACUUAAACUAACAGAGGUAUAUGUGUUAAUGAUUUGAGGUUGACACAGUUUUGUUGAGGAAUAAUUCUUGAUCUAAGUUUUGUAACUUAGUUAUAAGACAUGCGAGAGAUUAAUUGAAAGGGUAUUGCUGAGGCCAAAAAGCCUUUUAUAAAGGAAAGCUUACGAAAAUGUGAAAUCUGUUGUGCAGAUAAUUCAGGGGUGUGUUGUAUUUGUUAUGCUAAGUUUGAUAGACAUAGAAAUCUAGUUAGCCUAUGUUAAGUGAUACUGUUAAAAAGGGAAGCUUGUUUGAUAAAUAAUGCAAGUAGCUGACAUGAAAGAUGUCUUGCUAAGGUAUUGUGCCCACAAAACUUUUGUUAAAUCAUUUAUUGGUAAAGAAAGGUAUAUUGUAGAAAAGUUGAGAGCUUUGAUUAUUUCAGCUGUACCUAUUUUUAGGAAAAAACCCUAUCUCUUUCAUGACUAAAAAAAUUCCAUGGUUUUACAUACUUACCCUUAUUCUGUGAAGUCAUAGUCUUAAAUGGAAAACAGAAUUAAGCAGUAACAGAAUUAAAGGAUAUGGACAGAAGUGAGAUCUCUCCAGGGAACAGCAAAAAGAGUUCCUGUGGUGUCUUGGGAUGUGCUGGAGUUUGUGUUGCUUUUACAUGUCUCAUUUCUGUGUGGACUGGUACUGUCAUGAAUAUCUUCUUGAUUUUACUUGUCAAAGUGAAGGAGGGAAGAUGGGGAGAAGUGAUGGGCUUCAGGAACUGAAGUUUUUGUGCAAGUCUCUUUCUCUGGUGUCAUCUUUCCCUAUUACAUUCCAGGUCAUUAAUGGAAUUGGAUAUCUUCCCCUUCCCCUCCUUCUCCUCUCCCUCCUUGGGCCACAGGGUGUGUUUCUAUUGUCUUAUCAGACAGGCUCUUUGGUAUUUCUUUGCGGCUUUUUCUGUAUUUAUGAUUCUCCUAAUGUUGGUAGAAGUGCUUUGCUUACAGAAGAAAAUUGCAAUCUUUUGGCAGAGGAGGCCAACAUUUUUUAAUGUAACAAUCCUCAAAAUCAGAAAACACAUCUUGGAAGAGAAAAAGGGGUCUUGCCUGGGUUGGAGAUAACAUUUGCAGAUUGUGUUCUUUCUGGGGGAUGGGGCUGGGUUAAGCAUGCAAUUAGGUCCCAGAGCAUAUUGAAGUUGUUUGCUCUAUUCCUCAGUGAGGGAGCUGGCUGAUGUGUCAGUGUCUGUGGCAGAGCAGCUCUGCUGCCUGCUAUGCGAUAGCUUUGUCAGGUUUAAGGUGUUUAAUAGCCACACGCAACUCAGCUGGAAAACCCCACUCUUGUUUGUGAAAAACUAGAUUCUUAGAUUGGAAAGAUCUGUGAAUCACUGUAUGAAUGUUGCAUUUAAAUUGGUAGCUGUGUUUGCUGCUUUUGCUGAGGUGGUUUUUUUCUGUCUUGGAGGUAGUGGAAGAUAAAUUUGUGCAGCUCAUUAAAAUAUUGUAGCUUUUAAGUGUUUAAAGUGUUUUGUGUGGUUUGUUGUGUUUGUGUUGUGUUUUCUGUUUUGUUUUUUGUUUUUGUUUUAAUAAAGCUGUAUCUAAAGUACUUACCACCUGCCAAAACCACACCAGCCAUGGUGUGUCAAGUGACUUCAGUGGUGUUUCAACUCUAAGGUACCAAUAAUCUUAUUUAUGAUGUGACUGACUCUCCUGUAUGUUUAAAUAACAUUCAUGACCAAACUGAACCUUCCCAACCUAGCAA
rnacentral:lncRNA from 1 species